AAGAGUGUAUUUUUCAUAUUCUUCUUCUUCUGGUGCCAUGCCCAGUCUAAUGGGCGUCGGCGGUCAGCAUGGCAUUCAGCUCUCUGUAUUUAAUGUUAUCUAUCCAUUUAUUUCUAGGUCUACCUCUCCCUCUUUUUCCCUCAUACUUUCCCUCGAUGAUUGUCUGCAAUAAGUCGUAUUUUUCAUUUCUAUAGAUGUGACCCAGAUAGGCUGUUUUUCUUUUCUUAAUGAUGUU